rnacentral:rRNA from 1 species
AGUGAACGCUGGCGGUAGGCCUAACACAUGCAAGUCGAACGGCAGCACAGUAAGAGCUUGCUCUUACGGGUGGCGAGUGGCGGACGGGUGAGGAAUACAUCGGAAUCUACUUUUUCGUGGGGGAUAACGUAGGGAAACUUACGCUAAUACCGCAUACGACCUACGGGUGAAAGCAGGGGAUCUUCGGACCUUGCGCGAUUGAAUGAGCCGAUGUCGGAUUAGCUAGUUGGCGGGGUAAAGGCCCACCAAGGCGACGAUCCGUAGCUGGUCUGAGAGGAUGAUCGGCCACACUGGAACUGAGACACGGUCCAGACUCCUACGGGAGGCAGCAGUGGGGAAUAUUGGACAAUGGGCGCAAGCCUGAUCCAGCAAUACCGCGUGGGUGAAGAAGGCCUUCGGGUUGUAAAGCCCUUUUGUUGGGAAAGAAAAGCAGCAGGUUAAUACCCCGCUGUUCUGACGGUACCCAAAGAAUAAGCACCGGCUAACUUCGUG